rnacentral:rRNA from 1 species
CCUACGGGAGGCAGCAGUGGGGAAUAUUGGGCAAUGGGCGCAAGCCUGACCCAGCAACGCCGCGUGAAGGAAGAAGGCUUUCGGGUUGUAAACUUCUUUUCUCAGGGACGAAGAAAGUGACGGUACCUGAGGAAUAAGCCACGGCUAACUACGUGCCAGCAGCCGCGGUAAUACGUAGGUGGCAAGCGUUAUCCGGAUUUAUUGGGUGUAAAGGGCGUGUAGGCGGGAGCGCCAGUCAGAUGUGAAAACUCAGGGCUCAACCCUGAGCCUGCAUUUGAAACUGUGUUUCUGGAGUGCUGGGGAGGCAAUCGGAAUUCCGGGUGUAGCGGUGAAAGGCGUAGAUAUACGGAGGAACACCAGUGGCGAAGGCGGAUUGCUGGACAGUAACUGACGCUGAGGCGCGAAAGCGUGGGGAGCAAACAGGAUUAGAUACCCUUGUAGUC